rnacentral:rRNA from 1 species
AUUGAACGCUGGCGGCAUGCUUUACACAUGCCAGUCGAACGGCAGCGCGGGCUUCGGCCUGGCGGCGAGUGGCGAACGGGUGAGUAAUACAUCGGAACGUGCCCAGUGGUGGGGGCUAGCUCGGCGAAAGCCGGAUUAAUACCGCAUACGACCUGAGGGUGGAAGCGGGGGAUCUUCGGACCUCGCGCUCUUGGAGCGGCCGAUGGCAGAUUAGCUAGUUGGUGGGGUAAAGGCCUACCAAGGCGAGGAUCUGUAGCUGGUCUGAGAGGACGACCAGCCACACUGGGACUGAAACACGGCCCAGACUCCUACGGGAGGCAGCAGUGGGGAAUUUUGGACAAUGGGCGAAAGCCUGAUCCAGCAAGGCCGCGUGUGUGAUGAAGGCCUUCGGGUUGUAAAGCACUUUUGGCGGGAACGAAAAGGACUGUGCCAAUACCACGGUUCGAUGACGGUACCCGCAGAAUAAGCACCGGCUAACUACGUG